GGUUUCGUCUCGGGUAGCCUCACGGUUUUCACCCGGUCCGGAAUCCUCCUCGUGGCAAACCAGGGUUCUCUUAACUGGGCGCUCUGGGGAACCACGACGUUUACUUUGAGAAAAUUAGAGUGUUCAAAGCGGGGCAUUGCCCGAAUACAUUAGCAUGGAAUAAUGGAAUAGGACGUGCGGUUCUAUUUCGUUGGUUUCUAGGAUCGCCGUA
rnacentral:rRNA from 1 species